rnacentral:sRNA from 1 species
UUGACACUCAACAGAAUCAAGCAGACGAAAGAUAGUACACAAUAAACUGCUACAACAACAACAACAACAACUUCUCCUUAUCGAGUUGCGACAAGAGUAGAGCAUAUACAGCCCCCGCUCGACACCUCAACAUUCCUUCUCCAGUUCGAUCUCUGGUCAAGAAUAACGCCUAAGUAUUUAGACUCGCCAGAUAGUUGCAACUCCACUCCACCUAGAUCCGGUAAAAAAACUCGAUUACCUCCCCAUUUUGGUGGAGCACCAGCUCAGUAUUUCUGGGAUUUAUGCCUAGCUAAUUGUCUAUCGCCCAUCUAGAUUGCAUCCUCAGCGCACACCCUGAAGGAGGUCCGUGAUGGUAGAGGGAAGCGACGGCCAACCAUAAUGACACCUGGAGAGGGAGUGCUCUCAUCUCAACAAAAUAAUCAUGUAUGGACCGACGAGAGACUAAUUAGCCUAUAGCAAUUUGGCAGGGAGCUGCUCGGUUUCCCCGCCUGGAAUGAACACCACACUAACUCCUACCAUCCAGUCGGCACAUAGUCAAGCAGAAAACAGGCCCUAAAAAUCCCCUAAAGAAGCCACAUUAAUGUCUUGGCUGCAAGCGAAAGUUUCGUUUGAGGUGCGUACUCCACUUAAAGCGCAAUGCACCUCUUGCGAAAAUUACGAAAUUUUCCUUACCUGUACCGGUUGAUUUUUUAUUUUGGUCGAAUUUUAAUCAUUUUUGGCUAAUAAAGUACAUAUGUGCUGUA